GCUGUGCGUUGGUGUGACGUGCUCGUUGGUAUCUGUGGUGUGCGUCUGGUGUUGACGUACUCGAUGACGUACUUGGUGAAGUACUCGGUGACGUACUUGGUGAAGUACUCGGUGACGUACUUGGUGAUGUACAUGGUGAUGCACCUUUAGAGACUUGGAGGUUGAAGCCUUGACCCAGAGGGAGUUUAGCAAAGAUGGUUUCAUUGAGGAGGUCUGGAAAGAUUGCAGCUAAGACAGUGAGCUCUGGUGCGGCCAGAUGGGAUCUAUGCAUGCGUGCUUGAUUCCUAAUCUUCAUAGAUAUCUAUCUAGAAAAGAGCGUGUCAGGAGGUUUGUGCCUGAUGUAUACGUUAGCAAAUAAAUAUGUAUUUGCAUUCUUGUUCUAAUGAUCAAUGAAAUCUGGACGAGGUCCCGGGGAUGUAGGAAACGAACCCCGUUAACAAAUUCAGUGUGUCAU
rnacentral:lncRNA from 1 species